UACGGAGGGGGCUAGCGUUGUUCGGAAUUACUGGGCGUAAAGGGCUCGUAGGCGGCCAACUAAGUCAGACGUGAAAUCCCCAGGCUCAACCUAGGAACUGCGUCUGAUACUGGAUGGCUUGAAUUCGGGAGAGGGAGUGCGGAAUUCCAGGUGUAGCGGUGAAAUGCGUAGAUAUCGGAGGAACACCGGUGGCGAAGGCGGCAUCCUGGACCGAGAUGACGCUGAGGCGCGAAAGCCAGGGGAGCAACAGG
rnacentral:rRNA from 1 species